AUGGAUUUCGACCACAAUGCCGCCGCCGCCGCCGCCGACGGGCUUCCGUUCUCCAGCAAGAACACCUACCAUCUCCUCAUCGGACAGCCCAACCACGACAUUAGCACCCAUCUCAUUUUGGCAACCCGUGUCCCCAUCAAGGUGCAGGUCUUCGCCUGGCUACUCUUCAAGGACCACCUCAACUCCAAGGUGACCUCUUCCACAAGACCAUCGCCCCUGACACCAUUUGCACCGGGUGUGGUGUAUGGUUGUGUCGUUUUCCAUGAGAUGGAAUCCUUGUGUUGGCUGAGCUUAACUUCCUGA
rnacentral:rRNA from 1 species